GGCCGGGUCACAGUGGAGAGGGAGGGACUCCUUCCUUCUCCACUGACUGUGCUCCGAGAACAUAGGCUGCGCAGGAUCGCGGCGGUACAGUCGCAAAUGGCGACAAGACUAAAAAGUCUUGUCGCCAUCUGCAAAUUUUAAGGCGCAUUGGCGACCGUUUUGGUCGCCAUCUGGAGCCCUG